CAGAUCGGAAGAGCACACAUCUCAACUCCACUCACGCCAAUAUCNNNNNNNNNNNNNNNNNNNNUAUAUAUAUAUAUAUAGCAUGGCUUUUCAGGUUGGUAGAAAAACAUCAGUACAUCUAACCUUAUUUUACUAUCUUUCAGGCCAUCACCAAGCAGAAGGUGUGUGACUCAGAGGAGUCUAAGAUAGUGGAACAUAACAACAGGAAAUGGGUGGCAGCGGCCAAGUUCAUCACGAACCAUAAAGACUUAACUCAAGAAGUUAAACAAACCAUACAUUCACUGCUUGAGAAUGAGUGCAAGACAAUAUUUAACCCCAACAAAAAUUUCAUUUUGUGGAGGUCAUCACCAGAAGAUCUGAAGUCCUUCUCAUUUGACAAGCUUGAAUCAGACCUACAGCGUCUGUCACCACUUCUGUUCUCUAUCUUUGCUACUAUCUGCCAAAACUCCAGUCCUGUCAUCUGUGCUGCUUCUGCUAUCGCAUUGAGAGGACGAUAACCCCGUCUGUCAGCAUUUGCCCAUUAUUUGAAUUGUGAUCUUCUGUAUGGGGGUGCAAAGAAGACUGUCUUUGACAGACUUAGCACACUUGCAAUAACAAUUGCUCACGCAAAUGCAAUAUGAAAGCAAAUGAAGGUGGCAAACGCAUGUCUAACCAGUCUUUCCCUGCUAAAAAGGAUGAACGAAUCAUUCUUGACUCUGGAAGCUGAGCGCCAUAGAAAUGUUGGCCUCAGAGAGGACAAAAAGGCAAUGAGUCCGUCGCGCAAACCAGAACUUAUCCCCACAGAUGUCUUCUUGAGCACUGAAGAGCUUCAGUUGUCAGAGGAGGAGAUGGAAUGCAGUGAAGAAAAGGCCACUGAAGAAGAAAAUAUAUCUGUGCUUCUGCCAGAGAGUCAGCCAACUCCACCAAACACAUAUUUGGAUAAUUUGGAUUUAUUCAUGCAUGCACACCAUCAGUCCACUCUCCACAGUAGGUAUACAAUGCACUGGAUACAACACAUUGCUGUACGUAUUCCAACACAUCACCUGGCCAGUGACAUACCGCUUCUGGAUCUUCAACAGUACAACCUCACUAUGUCACUCCCAGGACAUGAAACAUAA
rnacentral:lncRNA from 1 species